rnacentral:piRNA from 1 species
UCACUCUGAAUGCACACCUUUGACAGCCGU